CCUACGGGUGGCUGCAGUGGGGAAUAUUGCACAAUGGGCGCAAGCCUGAUGCAGCCAUGCCGCAUGUGUGAAGAAGGCCUUCGGGUUGUAAAGCACUUUCAGCGGGGAGGAAGGCGGUGAGGUUAAUAACCUCAUCGAUUGACGUUACCCGCAGAAGAAGCACCGGCUAACUCCGUGCCAGCAGCCGCGGUAAUACGGAGGGUGCAAGCGUUAAUCGGAAUUACUGGGCGUAAAGCGCACGCAGGCGGUCUGUCAAGUCGGAUGUGAAAUCCCCGGGCUCAACCUGGGAACUGCAUUCGAAACUGGCAGGCUAGAGUCUUGUAGAGGGGGGUAGAAUUCCAGGUGUAGCGGUGAAAUGCGUAGAGAUCUGGAGGAAUACCGGUGGCGAAGGCGGCCCCCUGGACAAAGACUGACGCUCAGGUGCGAAAGCGUGGGGAGCAAACAGGAUUAGAUACCCGUGUAGUC
rnacentral:rRNA from 1 species